UUUUAUUUGAGAGUUUGAUCCUGGCUCAGGAUGAACGCUGGCGGCGUGCCUAACACAUGCAAGUUGAGCGAUUUACUUCGGUAAAGAGCGGCGGACGGGUGAGUAACGCGUGGGUAACCUACCCUGUACACACGGAUAACAUACCGAAAGGUAUGCUAAUACGGGAUAAUAUAUUUGAGAGGCAUCUCUUGAAUAUCAAAGGUGAGCCAGUACAGGAUGGACCCGCGUCUGAUUAGUUAGUUGGUAAGGUAACGGCUUACCAAGGCGACGAUCAGUAGCCGACCUGAGAGGGGGAUCGGCCACAUUGGAACUGAGACACGGUCCAAACUCCUACGGGAGGCAGCAGUGGGGAAUAUUGCACAAUGGGCGAAAGCCUGAUGCAGCAACGCCGCGUGAGUGAGGAAGGCCUUCGGGUCGUAAAACUCUGUCCUCAAGGAAGAUAAUGACGGUACUUGAGGAGGAAGCCCCGGCUAACUACGUGCCAGCAGCCGCGGUAAUACGUAGGGGGCUAGCGUUAUCCGGAUUUACUGGGCGUAA
rnacentral:rRNA from 1 species